UCUGAAGCUUCCAUGAAAAAUAGGACGUAAUUGCGGAGUAAGCAGACGUCACAUGUAGGCCUCGCUAGCUGCGUCAUGGUCGUGGCAGCUGGGCAAACUUCACGACGCAGGCCUGUGCUUGGUUAUGGCAAAUGACGCAAUCCCCAGCCUGUGCAUUGGUCACGACAAACGAAGCGUGCCCAAGCUGAUUCAUUCCAAAAUGGAUGAUUUGAAGAUUGGCUGCCAUAACAGCUACAUGGAGCAGGUGGAGGGAAUCCAGCAAUGGAAUGAUGUGAGAGAACUUGAGGAGACUGAAAAGAAGUGGAGCAGUUGCAGGGAUCAGGUGGCAUGCAGGAUUUUAUAUCUAUCUCAAAAGAAGGCUUAAAGUACAGGGAGGGGAGUAUUAAAAUGUUGUAUGGGGUUGUACAGUAGAAAAAUGGACUACAUAUGCAAGUUCCCUUCUUUAUAUAUUUCCAUAAUCCUCCAGGGCAACUAAGGAUGGAUAAAAGCAUGCAAAACUCAUAACACACACGCUAUGGAAUGUAGACAGUAGAUGAAUAAAAUAUUAGGUUCGUCACACACGGAAACAAAUCUGCUAGUAGCACCGUUGGAUCCUCUACUUACAAAAUCACUGGUUGUCAGGAAAGCAAGCAGGAAGUUCCAGUCCCACUCAGGAAAAGGCAGAGAGGAACAGGGCUCAAUCCAACACGGCUCAGAUACCGGCCAACGCUGUGUGCGCUGUCUGAUGGUUCUCCAAGCCUGGGACAUACGCCAUCUCACACUGGAGCAUGCUGGCCUGAGCGAACCUUUUCCCCUCCUUCAGGCUCCUUCAUCGACAGACGUAAACAUUCUCGUAAAGAACAUAGCUAAAUUAUUGUGCCAGACUUUCCUUGGAUUAUUUAGUCUCAUUACUACUGGUUUAAGAUGUGAACAGUUACAUGUUUCAGUGUUGAAUAUUCAUUUGACAAUCGGAGAAAUAAAGCUACAAUUAUAGGAUUUCACACACCAGCAGGAUACAAACAUUAAAUUCAAAUAAUGUUCAGGGCUCAGAAUGCAUAAAAAUUACAUUCAAACUUUGCACUGUCCUUAAAUAUAUACUAGUUUUAUGCAUUUAAUUCUGAAGUACAGUAUUUGGAAAAUUAAACAAGCAGUUUGCAUUUUUUGAGCCCUCUGCUGGCUGUGGAGAGAAUUACAACUAAUAAAAACACUUACAAGCCUUCCCAUCCCUCUGUUGAAACUUUCUGACUUUUUUGGGAUAUG
ensembl:lncRNA